rnacentral:rRNA from 1 species
AUUGAACGCUGGCGGCAGGCCUAACACAUGCAAGUCGAGCGGAUGACGGGAGCUUGCUCCUUGAUUCAGCGGCGGACGGGUGAGUAAUGCCUAGGAAUCUGCCUGGUAGUGGGGGACAACGUUUCGAAAGGAACGCUAAUACCGCAUACGUCCUACGGGAGAAAGCAGGGGACCUUCGGGCCUUGCGCUAUCAGAUGAGCCUAGGUCGGAUUAGCUUGUUGGUGAGGUAAUGGCUCACCAAGGCGACGAUCCGUAACUGGUCUGAGAGGAUGAUCAGUCACACUGGAACUGAGACACGGUCCAGACUCCUACGGAGGCAGCAGUGGGGAAUAUUGGACAAUGGGCGAAAGCCUGAUCCAGCCAUGCCGCGUGUGUGAAGAAGGUCUUCGGAUUGUAAAGCACUUUAAGUUGGGAGGAAGGGUUGUAGAUUAAUACUCUGCAAUUUUGACGUUACCGACAGAAUAAGCACCGGCUAACUCUGUGCCAGCCGCCGCCGUAAGAC